GAUGAAGAACGUAGUGAAAUGCGAUACUUGGUGUGAAUUGCAGAAUCCCGUGAACCAUCGAGUCUUUGAACGCAAGUUGCGCCUCAAGCCAUUAGGUUGAGGGCACGUCUGCCUGGGCGUCACAUAUCGUUGCCUGAUGCCAGUUUCCUCGUGAUGGGUGACUGUGCAGGGCGAAUGAUGGCUUCCCGUGAGCAUUGUUGCCUCAUGGUUGGUUGAAAAUUGAGUCCUUGGUAGGGAGCGCCGUGAUAGAUGGUGGUUGAGUGACGAACGAGACCCAAUCAUGUGAGACCCCUACCGAAUUUGGCCUUCAUGACCCACAUGCGUCUUUGGAACGCUCAUGACGAGACCUCAGGUCAGGCGGGGCUACCCGCUGAGUUUAAGCAUAUCAAUAGCGGAGGA
rnacentral:misc_RNA from 1 species